UGUAUUAGGUUGGUGCAAAAGUGAUUGUGGUUUUUGCAAUGGCAGAAACUGCAAUUACUUUUGCACCAACCUA
rnacentral:miRNA from 1 species